rnacentral:rRNA from 1 species
UACGUAGGUGGCAAGCGUUGUCCGGAAUUACUGGGUGUAAAGGGCGUGUAGGCGGGAAUGUAAGUCAGAUGUGAAAUCCCAGGGCUUAACUCUGGAGCUGCAUCUGAAACUAUGUUUCUUGAGUGUCGGAGAGGAAAGCGGAAUUCCUAGUGUAGCGGUGAAAUGCGUAGAUAUUAGGAGGAACACCAGUGGCGGAAGGCGGCUUUCGUGGACGAGUAA